GAUGAACGCUGGCGGCGUGCCUAAUACAUGCAAGUCGAGCGAACAGAUAAGGAGCUUGCUCCUUUGACGUUAGCGGCGGACGGGUGAGUAACACGUGGGUAACCUACCUAUAAGACUGGGAUAACUUCGGGAAACCGGAGCUAAUACCGGAUAAUAUUUCGAACCGCAUGGUUCGAUAGUGAAAGAUGGUUUUGCUAUCACUUAUAGAUGGACCCGCGCCGUAUUAGCUAGUUGGUACGGUAACGGCUUACCAAGGCGACGAUACGUAGCCGACCUGAGAGGGUGAUCGGCCACACUGGAACUGAGACACGGUCCAGGCUCCUACGGGAGGCAGCAGUAGGGAAUCUUCCGCAAUGGGCGAGAGCCUGACAGAGCAACGCCGCGUGAGUGAUGGAGGUCUUCGGAUCGUAAAACUCUGUUAUUAGGGAAGAACAUACGUGUAAGUAACUGUGCACGUCUUGACGGUACCUAAUCAGAAAGCCACGGCUAACUACGUG
rnacentral:rRNA from 1 species